CUACAGAGGUUGCGAGCGUUGUUCGGAUUUACUGGGCGUAAAGGGAGCGCAGGCGGCUUGGCCAGUCCAAAGUGAAAGCCCGGGGCUCAACCCCGGAAGUGCUUUGGAUACUACCAAGCUUGAGUACGUGAGAGGAGAGCGGAAUUCCAGGUGUAGCGGUGAAAUGCGUAGAUAUCUGGAGGAACAUCUGUGGCGAAAGCGGCUCUCUGGCACGAUACUGACGCUGAGGCUCGAAAGCGUGGGUAGCGAACGGGAUUAGAAACCCCAGUAGUCC
rnacentral:rRNA from 1 species